AUUGAACGCUGGCGGCAGGCCUAACACAUGCAAGUCGAGCGGAUGAAGGGUGCUUGCUUCUGGAUUCAGCGGCGGACGGGUGAGUAAUGCCUAGGAAUCUGCCUGGUAGUGGGGGAUAACGUCCGGAAACGGGCGCUAAUACCGCAUACGUCCUGAGGGAGAAAGUGGGGGAUCUUCGGACCUCACGCUCUCAGAUGAGCCUAGGUCGGAUUAGCUAGUUGGUGGGGUAAAGGCCUUCCAAGGCGACGAUCCGUAACUGGUCUGAGAGGAUGAUCAGUCACACUGGAACUGAGACACGGUCCAGACUCCUACGGGAGGCAGCAGUGGGGAAUAUUGGACAAUGGGCGAAAGCCUGAUCCAGCCAUGCCGCGUGUGUGAAGAAGGUCUUCGGAUUGUAAAGCACUUUAAGUGGGGAGGAAGGGCAGUAAGUUAAUACCUUGCUGUUUUGACGGUACCAACAGAAUAAGCACCGGCUAACUUCGUG
rnacentral:rRNA from 1 species